CCUACGGGAUGCAGCAGUAGGGAAUAUUGCUCAAUGGGGGAAACCCUGAAGCAGCAACGCCGCGUGGAGGAUGAAGGUUUUCGGAUUGUAAACUUCUUUUGUUAGAGAAGAUAAUUACGGUAUCUAACGAAUAAUCACCGGCUAACACCGUGCCAGCAGCCGCGGUAAUACGGCGGGUGCAAGCGUUACUCGGAAUCACUGGGCGUAAAGCGCGCGUAGGCGGGAUAGCAAGUCAGAGGUGAAAUCCUAUGGCUUAACCAUAGAACUGCAGUUGAAACUGUUAUUCUAGAGUAUGGGAGAGGUAGGUGGAAUUCUUGGUGUAGGGGUAAAAUCCGUAGAGAUCACGAGGAAUACUCAUUGCGAAGGCGACCUGCUAGAACAUAACUGACGCUGAUGCGCGAAAGCGUGGGGAGCAAACAGGAUUAGAUACCCCGGUAGUC
rnacentral:rRNA from 1 species